ACUAUAAGAGUCUGGCCUGCCCGGUGAGUGAUUAAACGGCUGCAAUGAGAAUUGUACUAAGGUAGCGUGAUAAUUCGUCUUUUAAUUGGAGAAUGGUAUGAAUGGUUUAAUGCAGAAAAAUUGUCUCUAGAGAAAUAAAUGAAGUUUCCUUUUAAGUGAAAAGGCUUAACUUUUUGUAAAAGACGAGAAGACCCUGUCGAGUUUAAUUAGGUCUGCAAGAAUACUUGCGGGUUGAAAUUUUAUUGGGGCAAUAUAAGGGAAAGAAAACUCCUUAUUUUUAUAAUGAAGAUCCUUUUAGAAAGAAAACAGCAAAAGCUACCGCAGGGAUAACAGCGUUAUCUUUUUUGAGAGAUCUUAUUGAGAAAAAGGUUUGCGACCUCGAUGUUGGAUUAGGGAAACUCUAUGGUGCAGCAGUUAUAAGAGUGGGACUGUUCGUCCUUUAAUUCCCUACAUGAUCUGAGUCAAAACCGGA
rnacentral:rRNA from 1 species